rnacentral:lncRNA from 1 species
GUGAGUUGGUUUGUUUGAAUUCCACUUGGAAUUUAGGGUAGAUAGAGUCGCAUAUAGAGUAGAUUGAUCACGCUAUUGAAUGGUAGAGUCCUUAGGGUUAUUUUAUUUAUGGAACCGGACUCAGUUUAGCAAGGGCUAAGCUGAGAUGAAUGGAAUUAAGACUGAGUUGAUAACCUGAUUAUGGCUAAGAAUAGGAUGCAUCAUGUUUUCUAUUCUUGCGUGUU